rnacentral:rRNA from 1 species
UACGUAGGGACCAAGCGUUGUUCGGAUUUACUGGGCGUAAAGGGCGCGUAGGCGGCGUGACAAGUCACUUGUGAAAUCUCCGGGCUUAACUCGGAACGGCCAAGUGAUACUGUCGUGCUAGAGUGCAGAAGGGGCAAUCGGAAUUCUUGGUGUAGCGGUGAAAUGCGUAGAUAUCAAGAGGAACACCUGAGGUGAAGACGGGUUGCUGGGCUGACACUGACGCUGAGGCGCGAAAGCCAGGGGAGCAAACGGG